AUGACAAAGCACAUCAGAGUUUAUGAUAACACCAAUCAAUAUCUGACAAUACACAACCGUGACAUGGAAAUUCUGAAAGAUGCUUUUAGAAAUAUUGCAUCCUUGGACAAUUGGACUGUGUCUAGUCUACAGCAAUGGCAGAGAGACGAUGGAAGGAACUGUGGUGUUUUCGUAUGCACAAUGGCAGAGAUGGAAGCUAAAAGUAUUAAAAUGUGCCACGAAAUUCUGCACACUGAACAGAUGGGAUACCUUCAUCUUUACCAUGCCUCAUGCAUGGUGAAACUUCUACAACCAGAGGUAACCCUUGAAAUUCAAAAGGUUUACAGUUUACAGAGUAUGCAAAGCUCAACAUGAAAGUUUAUCCUAGGACUUUCCACCCAAAGUCAAAAUAGUCCAGACCAGCUGUAUGGCCCAUGUAGGAGUUUGCAUUUAUCAAAAAUAUUGAUCAAAGUAUGUGAUAACUAUUUAAUUUCCUUAUGAACUACAAUUUAAUAAAAGCAGUUACACUCAUUGUUAUCAUUUAUCUGUAUGCAGAGUAAUGCACCCACGAAUCCAGUCACUGGACUGGAUUCAAUGUGACCUUUGCAAAAAAUGCCUGCCUUCUGACUGCGCUGGUAUCAGCCUUGAAACGAUCACAGAGGAAACAUCAUUCAGCUGUGGAUGUGACACUAACCAUGUGCAUACCUUUGAGAAAACAUUGGCACUACUGAAGAAGGGCUGGUUGGUUGACAUUGUAAUACAGGAUCAAGAAGUCUUGAGAUUGCACGAAGGCUUGAGAAACGGCACAAUCCGAUCCAGCAGGAUGUUUUUAUUUAAACAUCCCACAUUUUCUCCAAAGCUGAGGAUGAAACUUAGCAAAAAGUUUUGUUUUUUUUUGAGGAAGAACAGUUAUUUCAUACUGUUUGCCUUGUUUAACAAUUUAUAUAUUUAA
ensembl:lncRNA